GAUCCUGGCUCAGGACGAACGCUGGCGGCGUGCCUAAUACAUGCAAGUAGAACGCUGAAGGAGGAGCUUGCUUCUCUGGAUGAGUUGCGAACGGGUGAGUAACGCGUAGGUAACCUGCCUGGUAGCGGGGGAUAACUAUUGGAAACGAUAGCUAAUACCGCAUAAUAGUAGUUGUUGCAUGACAACUGUUUGAAAGGUGCAAUUGCAUCACUACCAGAUGGACCUGCGUUG
rnacentral:rRNA from 1 species